GACAGAGGCCUCGAGCGUUUAGGCGGAAUCACUGGGCUUAAAGCGUGUGUAGGCGGAUGCCUAAGUACCUUGUGAAAUCCCACGGCUCACCCGUGGAACCGCUGGGUAUACUGGGCAUCUUGGGCCAUUCAGGGGCAACUGGAACAAGCGGUGGAGCGGUGAAAUGCGUAGAUAUCGCUUGGAACGCCGACGGUGAAAACAGGUUGCUGGGAAUGUGCCGACGCUGAGACACGAAAGCCAGGGGAGCAAACGGG
rnacentral:rRNA from 1 species